AUGAAAAUAGAUAUUUCAAAGGCCUUUGAUUACUUGUCCUGGGAAUUCCUCUUGGAGACCUUGAAGAUCAGAGGUUUUGGAAAUAAAUGGUGCUCCUGGAUUUGCGGUCUUCUGAGCACAGCCUCAUCGUCGGUUCCCAUCAAUGGGGAGACCAGCACGCAGUUCGCUCUGGGGAAGGGAGUUAGGCAAGGUGAUCCCAUAUCGCCGGCUCUUUUUAUCUUGGCCAUCGACGCGCUGUAA
rnacentral:rRNA from 1 species